CCGGAGUUGUGAGUAUUCGUUCGACUACGUCCGUUUGUCUUCUUCAUGGACUCGUUCUUCUUCCUUGCGGGAUCUCAGGCAAGAUGACCACCCCUCGAAAUCACUUCUAUAUUUGCUUUGCUAGUUGCUCGUUCUAUUGCCAUGCCACGCUACCUACCACUUGCUAUAUCAUGCCUCCCAUACUGCCAUGUCAGCCCCUAACCUUUUCACCCUUCCUAGCAAACCGUUGUUUGGCUAUGUUACCGCUUUGCUCAGCCCCUCUUAUAGCGUUGCUAGUAGCAGGUGAAGACGAAGAUUGCUCCAUGUUGGAUUAUGUUUAUGUCGGGAUAUCACAAUAUCUCUUAUCUUAAUUAAUGCAUCUAUAUACUUGGUAAAGGGUGGAAGGCUCGGCCUUAUGCCUGGUGUUUUGUUCCACUCUUGCCGCCCUAGUUUCCGUCAUACCGGUGUUAUGUUCCUUGAUUUUUGCGUUCCUUACGCGGUUGGGUGAUUUAUGGGACCCCCCUUGACAGUUCGCUUUGAAUAAAACUCCUCCAGCAAGGCCCAACCUUGGUUUUACCAUUUGCCUACCUAAGCCUUCUUCCCUUGGGUUCUGCAGACUCAAGGGUCAUCUUUAUUUUAAACCCCCGGGCCAGUGCUCCUCUGAGUGUUGGUCCAACCCGUCAGUCGCCGGUGGCCACCAGGGGCAACUCUGGGCUGGCCUACCGGAAGCUUGGACAAUCCGGUGUGCCCUGAGAACGAGAUAUGUGCAGCUCCUAUCGGGAUUUGUCGGCACAUUCGAGCGGCUUUGCUGGUCUUGUUUUACCAUUGUCGAAAUGUCUUGUAACCGGGAUUCCGAGACUGAUCGGGUCUUCCUGGGAGAAGGUUUAUCCUUCAUUGACCGUGAGAGCUUAUAAUGGGCUAAGUUGGGACACCCCUGCAGGGUAUUAUCUUUCGAAAGCCGUGCCCGCGGUUAUGUGGCAGAUGGGAAUUUGUUAAUAUCCGGUUGUAGAGAACUUGACACCUGACCUUAAUUAAAACGCAUCAACCGCGUGCGUAGCCGUGAUGGUCUCUUCUCGGCGGAGUCCGGGAAGUGAACACGGUUUCUGGGUUAUGUUUGACGUAAGAAGGAGUUCAGGAUCACUUCUUGAUCAUUGCUAGUUCACGACCGUUCCGUUGCUUCUCUUCUCGCUCUUAUUUGCGUUUGUUAGCCACCAUAUAUGCUUAGUCGCUGCUGCAAACUCACCCCCUUACCCUUGCCUCCCCUUAAGCUUAAAUAGUCUUGAUCUCGCGGGUGUGAGAUUGCUGAGUCCUCGUGACUCACAGAUACUUCCAAAACAGUUGCAGGUGCCGAUGGGACCAGUGCAGAUGACGCAACUGAGCUCAAGUGGGAGCUCGAUGAAGAUCUUGUCCGUUGUGUUGUUUCUUUUCUUAUUGAUCAGUAGUGGAGCCCAGUUGGGACGAUCAGGGAUCUAG
rnacentral:lncRNA from 1 species